CCCCGAGCGCCGCUCGGGCUCCGCCGUGCUCGCUCCGAGCUCCCGGCUCCUGCAAAGCUAGCACCGCCGCCGUCUCCCUUCAGCCGCCAUCAUGAUUAUCUACUGGGACCUCAUCAGCCCUGAUGAGAUGUUCUCUGACAUUUACAAGAUCCAAGAGAUCGCGGACGGCCUAUGCUGGGAGGUGGAGGGAAAGAUGGUCAGUAGGACAGAGGGUAACAUUGAUGACUCGCUCAUUGGUGGAAAUGCUUCCGCUGAAGGACCUGAGGGCAAAGGUACCGAAAGCACAGUUAUCACUGGUGUUGAUAUUGUCAUGAACCAUCACUUGCAGGAAACCAGCUUCACCAAAGAAGCCUACAAGAAGUACAUCAAAGAUUACAUGAAGUCAAUCACAUCCUGGCUAAUUUCAAAAACUACCAGUUCUUUAUUGGUGAAAACAUGAAUCCAGAUGGCAUGGUUGCUCUCCUGGACUACCGUGAGGAUGGUGUGACCCCAUAUAUGAUUUUCUUUAAGGAUGGUUUAGAAAUGGAAAAAUGUUAACAAAUUUGGCAGUUACUUUGGAUCUAUCACCUGUCAUCAUAACUGGCUGCUGCUUGUCAUCCACACAACACCAGGACUUAAGACAAACGGGACUGAUGUCAUCUUGAACUCUUCAUUUAUUUUGACCAUGAUUUAUUUGGAGUGGAGGCAUUGUUUUUAAGGAAAAACAUGUCAUGUAGGUUGUUUAAAAAUAAAAUGCAUUUAAACUCAUUCGAGAGAAUGCCUUUUAGUUUAAUACACUUCUAAACUAAAUCCAUCCUAUAGUGUUCCUGCAGAAGCUAGAGACUGGUUGUAGUCCACUACUAGAAAGCAUAAAACUGUCAUCAGAUAAAUUCUACAGUGGAAACCACUCCUGAGACUGGAAUGUAAAGGAACCAAAAGUUUUAAUUCUGAGUUACAGUAAAGGAAGAGACCAUGCUCAUAGCAGUGCCAACACUUGAUGUGGAGCCUUAACACAUUUCAUCACCUACAACGGAAGUAGUGAUUGUGGAAGAAAUUACCAAGAGAAUAAAAAGAGACUAAUUCAGUUGGAA